UAGGGAAUCUUCCGCAAUGGGCGAAAGCCUGACGGAGCAACGCCGCGUGAGUGAUGAAGGUCUUCGGAUCGUAAAACUCUGUUAUUAGGGAAGAACAAAUGUGUAAGUAACUAUGCACGUCUUGACGGUACCUAAUCAGAAAGCCACGGCUAACUACGUGCCAGCAGCCGCGGUAAUACGUAGGUGGCAAGCGUUAUCCGGAAUUAUUGGGCGUAAAGCGCGCGUAGGCGGUUUUUUAAGUCUGAUGUGAAAGCCCACGGCUCAACCGUGGAGGGUCAUUGGAAACUGGAAAACUUUAGUGCAGAAGAGGAAAGUGGAAUUCCAUGUGUAGCGGUGGAAUGCGCAGAGAUAUGGAGGAACACCAGUGGCGAAGGCGACUUUCUGGUCUGUAACUGACGCUGAUGUGCGAAAGCGUGGGGAUCAAACAGG
rnacentral:rRNA from 1 species